UACGUAGGGUGCAAGCGUUGUCCGGAAUUAUUGGGCGUAAAGAGCUCGUAGGCGGUCUGUCGCGUCUGCUGUGAAAACUCGGGGCUUAACCCCGGGCCUGCAGUGGGUACGGGCAGACUAGAGUGUGGUAGGGGGAGACUGGAAUUCCUGGUGUAGCGGUGAAAUGCGCAGAUAUCAGGAGGAACACCGAUGGCGAAGGCAGGUCUCUGGGCCACUACUGACGCUGAGAAGCGAAAGCAUGGGGAGCGAACAGG
rnacentral:rRNA from 1 species